rnacentral:rRNA from 1 species
AUGCAGUGUGAUAACGGAGGAGAAUUCCUCACCACCUCUCUUCGCGACCUUUUCUCUCGGUAUGGCGCCUCUCUUCGCCUCUCCUGCUCCCACACCUCGCCCCAAAAUGGUAAGGCCGAGCGCCUUAUCCGCACUACAAACGACAUCCUACGAGUGCUCCUCAUCCAUGCCAACCUCCCGCUGCCAUUCUGGGUUGAAGCUCUUCACACCGCCACAUAUAUACUCAACCGCCGCCCAUGCUCAUCCAUCGCCUCCGAGACACCUUUUUUUCGCCUUCUAGGUAAACACCCCACUUAUGACCAUAUGCGCGUGCUCGGCUGCCUCUGCUUUCCAAACACCAUCGCCACCAGCCCGCACAAACUCUCCCCGUGCUCCACUCGCUGCGUCUUUCUCGGCUACCCCUUAGAGCACAAGGGCUAUCGGUGCUUAGACCUCACUACCCGCAAGGUUAUCAUCUCUCGUCACGUCACAUUCGAUGAAACAGUUUUUCCCUACUCAUCU